GAGGCAGGGGCGAGGGGCUGCGAGAGGAGCCGAGCGAGGCUGCUGCUUUCGCUUCUCCUGUCUCCCCUCCCUCUCUUU
rnacentral:pre_miRNA from 17 species